AUACGUAGGUGACAAGCGUUAUCCGGAUUUACUGGGCGUAAAGGGCGUGUAGGCGGUCUUGCAAGUCAGAAGUGAAAUUCCUGAGCUCAACUCGGGCGCUGCUUCUGAAACUGCAGGACUUGAGUGCUGGAGGGGAUAGCGGAAUUCCUAGUGGAGCGGUAAAAUGCGCAGAUAUUAGGAGGAACACCGGUGGCGAAGGCGGCUAUCUGGACAGUAACUGACGCUGAGGCGCGAAAGCACGGGGAGCAAACAGGAUUAGAUACCCUGGUAGUCCGUGCCGUAAACGAUGAAUACUAGGUGUAGGGGGUAUCGACUCCCUCUGUGCCGCAGUUAACACAUUAAGUAUUCCACCUGGGGAGUACGGCCGCAAGGUUGAAACUCAAAUGAAUUGGCGGGG
rnacentral:rRNA from 1 species